CCUCUCGGUCCCCGGCCGUGGACGCCACGCCGCUCCCCAGUGCUGUGUGUGGCUGAGCGCUCUGGUCAGGGACACUGACCACUGAGCCGGCCACAAUUGGGUGCCAAGUCCUUCUCUGGAAGGAGCUCCUGUGGGCUGUGAGGUAACAGCAUCAGGCCCAACCUCAGGAUGCUAAGCUAUUCCAUGGAAAGAGGGACCACCCGUUCCCUCUGUGGGUCCACAUGCCACACCCGUGCCCUGAAGCCCAUCUCUGCCGUAUACCCGUUGGGCUUUCUGUGGUCACUUCCGGGGGCCGGAGCUAGUUUCUGCUGCUGCCGAGGAUCUGCGCCGGCAGCAGCCACACCGUGUGGACGCUGGCUGCUCUGCCCACCCCCAGGGUCUGCAUGGAGAGAGGCCACGCCCCUGGCUCCUCUCCUGUGCUGGGGACGGGGCGCCCGCGUUCCUGACAGGCCAGACCAAGGACCAGCACCGAGGCCACUGCGCUGCGCUGACAGAAGCCGACCCUGCCCUGUCUCUGGGGGCUGCGUCUGGCAGGAGAUGCAGUCAGAAGGCAACGCCGUUGGAAGCGCUGACACAGAACUGAGGGUGUAACCCAUGCUUGGCACCCGGACAAUUUCUGGAAACCUCCUGACGUCCAGCGUGACCCAGAGCCAGCUUCACAGGCUUAGAAAGCAUACAUUUUGGAAAGUGCCCCCAAAACACAUGGUCCCCAUGCUUCCGUCCUGAGGAGAAGCUGCCCCUAUCCCAGGAGACCCUUGCCCAGGAUGGCCUCCCUGCAGGGUCUGGUCCAGAGAUCUCUGCACUGCUUGCAGGGGGCCCCUGGCCGGAGCCGGACAUCAGGAAAGGACCUGGCACCCUUUGCCUGUGGGCUUCAUGCCCACCUCAGUCACCGCUUUAGCCUUUUCAUGUUUGGGGGGACUCCUUCCAGGUACAGCCAUCCCCAGUCCUCUUAAGCACUGCAAACCCCAGGAGGCCGGGCCUGGCCUUCCCUGAGGCGGUGGAGGUGUGAAGACCAGCUGAAUAAAACCCGAAUAAACCCACUUAAGUCUGCAGAGGCCGAGCAGAGCUCUGGCAGACUUCUGGGGACAGGGCCCUCUCCCGCAGCCAGGCUAGGUGUGGGGGCGGGCCCUGGGGCUCCUGGGCUCACAGCC